rnacentral:rRNA from 1 species
GAUCAUGGCUCAGGACGAACGCUGGCGGCGUGCCUAACACAUGCAAGUCGAACGGAACUGUUUUGAAAGAUUUCUUCGGAAUGAAUUUGAUUUAGUUUAGUGGCGGACGGGUGAGUAACGCGUGAGUAACCUGCCUUCAAGAGGGGGAUAACAUUCUGAAAAGAAUGCUAAUACCGCAUGAUAUAUCGGAACCACAUGGUUUUGAUAUCAAAGAUUUUAUCGCUUGAAGAUGGACUCGCCGUCCGUA